rnacentral:lncRNA from 1 species
GGGAGUAGGUACUUACAUGCAGCAGUUGGAUCGUACGUACAAGUACGGGUAUCUUUCAUUGGAACAAUACAUGUCAACUCAAGGUUGAUGACAGACGGGAGUUGACUAAUCGUAAUUAAGAAUAGGGUGUGGCCAAAACGGGCAGUUCCUAGCUACCGACAUGGUGACUCACCAAACAGUACUCGUUGCUAACUAGUCAUGCCAACGCCGGCACCUCCACGUCAGCCUAG